rnacentral:rRNA from 1 species
UACGGAGGGUGCAAGCGUUGUUCGGAAUUGCUGGGCGUAAAGGGCUCGUAGGCGGCCAACUAAGUCAGACGUGAAAUCCCUCGGCUUAACCGGGGAACUGCGUCUGAUACUGGAUGGCUUGAAUCCGGGAGAGGGAUGCGGAAUUCCAGGUGUAGCGGUGAAAUGCGUAGAUAUCUGGAGGAACACCGGUGGCGAAGGCGGCAUCCUGGACCGGCAUUGACGCUGAGGCGCGAAAGCUAGGGGAGCAAACGGG